ACGCACGCUGGCGGCGUGCUUCACACCUGCAAGUCGCACGGAAAGGCCCUGCUUUUGUGGGGUGCUCGAGUGGCGAACGGGUGAGUAACACGUGAGUAACCUGCCCUUGACUUUGGGAUAACUUCAGGAAACUGGGGCUAAUACCGGAUAGGAGCUCCUGCUGCCUGGUGGGGGUUGGAAAGUUUCGGCGGUUGGGGAUGGACUCGCGGCUUAUCAGCUUGUUGGUGGGGUAGUGGCUUACCAAGGCUUUGACGGGUAGCCGGCCUGAGAGGGUGACCGGCCACAUUGGGACUGAGAUACGGCCCAGACUCCUACGGGAGGCAGCAGUGGGGAAUAUUGCACAAUGGGCGGAAGCCUGAUGCAGCAACGCCGCGUGCGGGAUGACGGCCUUCGGGUUGUAAACCGCUUUCGCCUGUGACGAAGCGUGAGUGACGGUAAUGGGUAAAGAAGCGCCGGCUAACUACGUG
rnacentral:rRNA from 1 species